UGGGGAAUCUUGCGCAAUGGACGAAAGUCUGACGCAGCCACGCCGCGUGAGUGAAGAAGGCCUUCGGGUCGUAAAGCUCUGUCGAGCGGGACGAACGUCCAUUCGGUUAAUACCCGAGUGGAGUGACGGUACCGCUAAAGGAAGCACCGGCUAACUUCGUGCCAGCAGCCGCGGUAAUACGAGGGGUGCAAGCGUUGCUCGGAAUUAUUGGGCGUAAAGGGUAGGUAGGUGGUCUCAUUUGUCUGGGGUGAAAGCCUUGAGCUUAACUCAAGAAGUGCCUCGGAAACGGUGAGACUAGAGUCCUGGAGAGGGUCGUGGAAUUCCCGGUGUAGCGGUGAAAUGCGUAGAGAUCGGGAGGAACACCAGAGGCGAAGGCGGCGACCUGGACAGGAACUGACACUCAACUACGAAAGCGUGGGGAGCAAACAG
rnacentral:rRNA from 1 species